CAGACGGGCGAUAAGCAAGUGAACAUGAUCAGUCAGAAGGAAACACAAACUAAAAACAUGAUAAGAAGCCACCACACAUCCACCAGCAGGGCUAGUUAGACAGCCAUCACCAGGGGGAGCAGAGCUAUGGGGCAGCCGGGACCCUCGUCCAGUGCCCGUGGGGGCGUGAAACAGCACGGGCAGCUUCUUAGGAAGUUCAACAUCUACCCGCCUGUGACCCAACAACGCCACUCCCAAGUGCUUCUCCAAGAGAAAUGGAAGCAGUUUUACAGGAAGAGUUGAGAGCGUGCCCGCUGCAGCCCUGGCCCGCUCGGCACAGCUGGUGGGAGUGUCGGCCCAGGACCCUUGAGUUGCAGCUUCGAUUCCCAGUCAAGGCCAUGCCUGGGUUGCGAGUCGGAUCCCCGAUCCAGGAGCAUACAGGAGGCCCUGGUAACCUCCAGCCCACUUUGUCUCUGUGGGCCCACCUAUUGUGGACGUUUCACAUGGGUGGGACAAUACAAUCUGUCCUUUUGUGUCUGGUUUAUUUCACUGAGCAUCAUGUCCUCGAGGCCCACGCUGGGGCAUGUAUCAGAACUCCAUUCUUUUCAUGGCUGAGCAACAUUCCAUUUGCGUGGACGGAGAGACCGCAUCUUGUCCAUCUCCCGCUGGAACUGCGGUGGCCUCCACCGUCCGGCUGUGUAAGAACACUUGGCAUGAGCUCUACCCUGUGAAAUUCUCACGGCACAAUGCAGCUCGUUGACCUGGGGACCGUGUGUGCAGCAGAUGUCCAGGGCUUUUUCCUCGUGCUUAACUGACACCGAUGCUGGCUGAUCAAUAACCCCUUUUCCCCUGUCCCGGCCGUGGCAACCACCAUUCCCGUCUUUAACUCUAUGAACUUGACCUCUGUAGGGUAACUCAUAUUAAGUGGAAUCGCGUGGGGUUUGUUCUUCUGCGAGUGGCUUAUUUCACCGAGCGUAAUGUCCUCAAAGUUCAUCCGUGUUGUCACAUGUUCCAUUUCUCUCUCAAUGCUGGAGUGUGUGUGUGUG